GUUCCUGUGAUCUCUUCCACUUUCUUCAUUGACACUGUGUCCUCAGAAGGUUCCAGGAUCCGUAUUUUAGGCUUAGAGCAUUCUUGUUUAGCUGGGAUUGCAUUUCCUUGUAGAGAACCACUUGGAUAUUUAGAACCAGUGACUGAGAAGACUACUGAAGAACACUGAAAUCAUUAUCAUACUCAUUUACAUCACUGCUGAUAACCUGACUGAGCCUAAAUGUUGGAAACUUGGUCAAGAUGUAGGUUUAACUACAUGUAUACUAGGACAGAUAUGAUCAUAAAUCAGUAUCUGCCUGGCUUAUCAGAGUGUUUACUGCUGUUCAUAGUCUUAAAGCUACUAACACUUAACCCUUGUUAAAACCAUCCAUAACAGCAGCCAAAUAAGAAUAAAUCAGAGUAGAGAGAGAAUAUUUAAAUGCAUAUAAGAGGAAUCAGCAAUAACAAACUGCAUAAAGUCACAAAUUAUAGACUUAAUUUAAAAAUGCUACAGCGAUCAUCAUGAAUGGAUCAAGUAACAUAAUGUAGGCUUACAUCUAUAACUGUAAAGUUAGUUCUACUUUUUUUUUUAAUGUUCUUGACCACCAAGACAGUUUCUAAUGGAGUGUGGAGUUCCAAGCCAAACUUUACUCUGUCAUCUACUUCUGACCUCAUGUGUGUAACCUACAACAGGCCACCACUAUGUGAAGUUUGUUCUUUCCCAUUAUUGUCUUGCUGAUGAAGUAGAAGUGUAUUCAAGACACUAAGAAGCACUCAAAUUAGUUAUGGAAAAAUUUCCACCACUGACUUAGAGCAGAUUUGUAGCCUAUUUGUUUUGGUGUGCAACAGUGUGGUGCUGCAAACAUUACAAGUUAUUAUAUUUUAACUUUAGUAGUUGUUUACAAUUACUUAAUCUGAUGCUACAGGAGUGCACUGGAAAGAAAAGGGCAACAUGCAUGACUGCAAGGCCCACUAUGAAAAGAAAACUCCACUAUGGUGCAAUCAAAGGAAAAAGAGCAGCCAAAGUAGGGUUUGGCUGCUCAGCCCCACAGAAAGCAGAGAAUGAGUGCCCUUACUACAUUGAAAUGCAGAGGAGCUGGCAAUGUGCAUGGGCCAAGUGCAAGAGCUGUUAGAAGAAAUUAAAUGGCAUAGUCAAGUACCAAAUUCAAUUUAGUGCAGCUGCCUCUGACGUUUAGACAGACCAUGAAGUACUUAAUUGGCUGCAUCUCACUCUAAACUUGGUGUCCCUGUCCACGUGCUGACCCCACCUCAAUUUCUGACCCCCCCGAAAAGGCAGACCUAACACAAGAAGUUCGGCGGUCCCUCUAGGACAGUAGUGUGAUCAAAAGGGUAGACCCCGCCAUUCAGAACAAGGUGUUCUACUCAAUGUAUUUUUUGUUCAGAAAACAAGGACAACAGCUUCCAUUCUAUUCUAGAUGUGAAAGGACCAAAAAAAAAAUCCUCCACUGUGCUGCAUAUUCCUUUGGUACAUUUAGAGUGACUUUGCACCAUCUAGCAAUCUCAUACAAGAAGGCCAGUACUGUAGGAACCAGGCAGUGCAUGGUAUCCAACAUUUACAAAAUGGUAUUGACCUGAAAGCAUACCAGGGAUUCUUGCAUUCAAGAGUGUUUCCUGGACUGCUGAGUCGUUGUCCUCAACCUGCACUUCAUUAGAAUGGGCCAAACCCACAGGUACAGAUAGCCUUGCCGAGGGGGCCUAAUCUCUCCUUUCACUUAGGACAAUAGAUUCUGGGUGACAAGUGGGGCUCUGUGGCCUAAUUGCUGACUUUUGUGCAACAUGGAGAUAAUGAGUGG